AUGUACAAGUGGUUGGAGCGACCACUUAGUGGGUGCGCCUAUAAGUGGAUUUGGAAAGCUAAACUUCUUCUUAAAAUGCAGAUCUUCCUUUGGCAACUUGCUCAAGAUGCGGUGCUUACCAGGCAAGUGAUGCGCCAACGAAAGUGGCAAGGGAACCCUGUGUGUUCUUUUUGUCAUCAGAUUGAAACAUCCUAGCACUUAUUCUUUGGUUGCUCUGUGGCCAAGGUUGUUUGGCGAUCGAUUAGGGUCACGCUUGGGACAGAUUUGUGCCCUAGUAAUUACUGGCAAUUUUUUGUCUGGUGCUACUCCUUCUUACCUGGAUAUGAAUCCUUCUAUACUGUGGCGCUUGGGGCAGUCACUUGGGCCAUCUGGCUGGCUCGUAAUAGAGCUACUUUUGAGAAAAAAAAUGAUCAAAUCUCCUUUUGA
rnacentral:rRNA from 1 species